UACGAAGGGGGCGAGCGUUAUUCGGAAUCACUGGGCGUAAAGCGUGCGUAGGCUGUUUUGUAAGUCAGAAGUGAAAGCCCAGGGCUUAACCCUGGAAUUGCUUUUGAAACUACAAGACUCGAAUUCGGGAGAGGAUAGCGGAAUUGUCAGUGUAGCAGUGAAAUGCGUAGAUAUUGACAGGAACACCAGUGGCGAAAGCGGCUAUCUGGACCGACAUUGACGCUGAGGCACGAAAGCGUGGGGAGCAAAC
rnacentral:rRNA from 1 species